ACGGAAGGCAGCAGUGAGGAAUAUUGGUCAAUGGGCGGAAGCCUGAACCAGCCAAGUCGCGUGAAGGAUGAAGGUAUUAUGUAUUGUAAACUUCUUUAGCAGCAGAGUAAUAAGGGGGUCGUGACCCCCGAUGCAAGUAUGCUGAAAAUAAGGAUCGGCUAACUCCGUGCCAGCAGCCGCGGUAAUACGGAGGAUCCGAGCGUUAUCCGGAUUUAUUGGGUUUAAAGGGUGCGCAGGCGGUUUUUUAAGUCAGUGGUUAAAUCGUGAGGCUCAACCUCAUCACGCCAUUGAUACUGGAAGACUUGAUUGCGGUUGAGGUUGGCGGAAUUCGUCGUGUAGCGGUGAAAUGCAUAGAUAUGACGAAGAACACCGAUUGCGUAGGCAGCUUACCAAGCCGUAAAUGACGCUCAUGCACGAAAGUGCGGGGAUCGAACAGGAUUAGAUACCCUGGUA
rnacentral:rRNA from 1 species